CGAAAGGGUGACGAAGCGACGCCGCGUGUGGGAAGAAGGCCUUCGGGUUGUAAACCACUGUCAGGAGUUAAGAAGUGUAAGGAUACGAAUAGUGUCUCUACUUGACUAAGGCUCCAGAGGAAGCCACGGCUAACUCUGUGCCAGCAGCCGCGGUAAUACAGAGGUGGCAAGCGUUGUUCGGAAUUAUUGGGCGUAAAGAGCACGUAGGCGGUUCUGCAAGUCGGCUGUGAAAGCCUUCCGCUCAACGGAAGAACAGCAGUUGAUACUACAGGACUCGAGUGCGGGAGGGGAGAGUGGAACUUCUGGUGGAGCGGUGAAAUGCGUAGAUAUCAGAAGGAACGCCGGCGGCGAAAGCGACUCUCUGGCCCGUAACUGACGCUGAGUGUGCGAAAGCUAGGGGAGCAAACGGGAUUAGAUACCCCGGUAGUCCUAGCCGU
rnacentral:rRNA from 1 species